UCCUUCUUAGCUCAGUUGGUAGAGCGCGUCACUAGUAGUCAUACUGUCAUGACGAGGUCAGUCGUUCAAGUCGGCUAGAAGGAA
rnacentral:tRNA from 1 species